rnacentral:rRNA from 1 species
UACGGGGGGGGCAAGCGUUGUUCGGAAUUACUGGGCGUAAAGGGCUCGUAGGUGGCCAACUAAGUCAGACGUGAAAUCCCUCGGCUUAACCGGGGAACUGCGUCUGAUACUGGAUGGCUUGAGUGUGGGAGAGGGAUGCGGAAUUCCAGGUGUAGCGGUGAAAUGCGUAGAUAUCAGGAGGAACACCGGUGGCGAAGGCGGGUCUCUGGGCCGAUACUGACGCUGAGGAGCGAAAGCGUGGGGAGCGAACAGG